GAUGAUUUUCUCCAAUAUUUAGUCAGACUGAUUUUCUGGAUCCAAGUUUCUCAACUUACCAAAUGUGGGCAAAUCAUUAUAUUGCUCCCAGCCUUAAAAAUCUUCAAUAAGUUAAAGAGAGGACUCAGGCUUAAUGGCAAUCCUGUUAUCUUACCAAUGAGGAGACUAAACACCUAGUUGGAGAUCACCUCCUUACUGGCUCAGAGCUUCAGGAAAUAGCUCAAGGAUGUGCAAAUACUAAACAGUAGAGCUGGGAUUUAGAUCCACAUCUACUUAAUUUUAGUGCGUAUGCUCUAACUGCUGCCACAGAAGGGAUGCAGAGGAAGACGGUCAGUUACCCAGAGGGUGAUAUCUUUGACUUAAUGUUCACCAUAAAGACAGCUAUCAACAAAAGACUUGAAUUCUAACUUGUUAUCUAUUGCAGGAAAGUGCCUGCAAUAUGGUGACUCCUGCAGAGCACCUGACAAUCAGAGAAGAGUUAGAAUACAUUAAGCUCAGCAUCACAUAUGUAGUUUGAAUACAACUCCACCUCCUUCUCUUUCUUUCUCUUCUUUCCUGCCUUUGUUGCCCUACCCAGGAUUAAAACCUUAGGUCUUAUGUUAAAAGAA
rnacentral:lncRNA from 1 species